UCAUCUCUAGGGUAAAGUCUUGUUACCUCAUAGGCACCAGAUCAAAGCUUCAAAAAAGUAUUUAAACUCCACUCUGAUUGUGCUGCCUGGGAGCUCCUUGGUUGAGCUCCCCUAGCUAGCUAGGAAUAAAGACUUCUCCUUGCUUGAAUUGCAUUGUCUCUAUGUGUUCCUUUGGUGGUCAUACAAUUGGACCCUAACAAUUGGUACAUCCUGGAUGCAGCAUAUUCUGAGCCUUAUGCUCAACACGGAGGACUUCCAGAACCAAAAUAGCAUGCCUACCUAUAUUCGGGUUCCCUUUGUUGAAAUCUCAAUCUUUAAGAUAGAGUGGGACAAAAUGCCUGCACCACGCCUCUUUGCUAGUCACCUCCCUGCCAACUUUUUCAUCAAUAACUUGAAGAACUCCAAGACUUGAGAACACAGAAGGACACCAGAGUCAUGGUGAAAUGGGAACUUGCACUCAGGACUGCAAUGUGUCUGGGGAGAUGACUGGCAAUUUCUCAGGAAUGAACACAUCCCAAGGGGACAUCUGGUGGUAUUGUGGAAGAAAAUCAAUUUCUAACAGGGGGUGGCACGGAGUGCCCAUUCUUUUUAGCCCACACCCAUGGGAUAAAGGCUAACUGGAAGUAAAACUGCACACAGAGGAGUACUGGCCAACUACCUCCCACCUACUGCACCAGGUGAAUCUGGGCAUAGACCAAACUUAGGAUCCUUGGACCCUGCCUACACCAACUGGAAAAAGAGACACAGAAAUGCAAUGAGAAAAAUAAUUUAAAAAUAAAACAGAAUUGACCUAUUGGAAAAAGAGGCAAAAAAAUCCAAUGAAGAAAAAUUUCAAAGAACAGUAGAAUAUACCAAAUGCUGUGAUUACAUAGCCAAUGACGUAUGAUUACAGGGAAAGAGAGAACAAAGGAACUGGUCUGAUGCAAUAUAUGGAACACAAAUGAGAAGAAGCAACUAGCAAGAACAAAACUAAGGUCAUGGAAGUCCUGCUUAAGUUGAUGUUGUGCUAAGAAGCCAAAGCACCUGGAUUCAAAUUCCUCCCUGACAUUUAUACUCUUGACCAAGUCAUUUAAACUUUACCAGAGUUUUGUAAUCUGCAAAAUGAAGGGAUAGAACUAAGUGGCCUCUUAGGUCUCAUUCUAGGAUCCUAUGAAAUGAUGUGCCUCAGAAUACAACUUCAAAAGUAAUGGUGCAGUGGACAGAGCAAGUCUCCUCUCACUUGACUUCCUAAAUAUUCCUCAUGCACAGAUAUGAUCACAUCACUUUCCUGUUCA